CCUACGGGCGGCAGCAGUGGGGAAUAUUGGACAAUGGGCGAAAGCCUGAUCCAGCCAUGCCGCGUGUGUGAAGAAGGCCUUCGGGUUGUAAAGCACUUUCAGUGGGGAAGAAAGCCUUGGGGCUAAUACCCUCGAGGAAGGACAUCACCCACAGAAGAAGCACCGGCUAACUCCGUGCCAGCAGCCGCGGUAAUACGGAGGGUGCGAGCGUUAAUCGGAAUUACUGGGCGUAAAGCGCGCGUAGGCGGUCUGAUAAGCCGGUUGUGAAAGCCCCGGGCUCAACCUGGGAACGGCAUCCGGAACUGUCAGGAUAGAGUGCAGGAGAGGAAGGUAGAAUUCCCGGUGUAGCGGUGAAAUGCGUAGAGAUCGGGAGGAAUACCAGUGGCGAAGGCGGCCUUCUGGACUGACACUGACGCUGAGGUGCGAAAGCGUGGGUAGCAAACAGGAUUAGAUACCCGAGUAGUC
rnacentral:rRNA from 1 species